GAUGAACGCUGGCGGCGUGCUUAACACAUGCAAGUCGAACGGAAAGGCUCCUGCUUGCCGGGGUACUCGAGUGGCGAACGGGUGAGUAACACGUGGGUGAUCUGCCCUGCACUUCGGGAUAAGCCUGGGAAACUGGGUCUAAUACCGGAUAGGACCACAUUUUGGAUGGUGUGGUGGAAAGUUUUUCGGUGUGGGAUGAGCUCGCGGCCUAUCAGCUUGUUGGUGGGGUAAUGGCCUACCAAGGCGUCGACGGGUAGCCGGCCUGAGAGGGUGUACGGCCACAUUGGGACUGAGAUACAGCCCAGACUCCUACGGGAGGCAGCAGUGGGGAAUAUUGCACAAUGGGCGCAAGCCUGAUGCAGCGACGCCGCGUGGGGGAUGACGGCCUUCGGGUUGUAAACUCCUUUCGCUAGGGACGAAGCGUUUUUGUGACGGUACCUGGAGAAGAAGCACCGGCUAACUACGUG
rnacentral:rRNA from 1 species